CUACGGGCCGCAGCAGUGAGGGAUAUUGCACAAUGGGGGGAACCCUGAUGCAGCAACGCCGCGUGGAGGAUGACGCAUUUCGGUGUGUAAACUCCUUUUAUAUGUCAAGAAAAUGACGGUAGCAUAUGAAUAAGCACCGGCUAACUCCGUGCCAGCAGCCGCGGUAAUAAGGAGGGUGCAAGCGUUACUCGGAAUCACUGGGCGUAAAGGACGCGUAGGCGGGUUGGAAAGUCAGGUGUGAAAUCCUACAGCUUAACUGUAGAACUGCACUUGAAACUUCUAAUCUAGAGUAUGGGAGGGGGAGAUGGAAUUAGUGGUGUAGGGGUAAAAUCCGUAGAUAUCACGAGGAAUACCUAAAGCGAAGGCGAUCUCCUGGAACAUUACUGACGCUAAGGCGUGAAAGCGUGGGGAGCAAACAGGAUUAGAUACCCCAGUAGUC
rnacentral:rRNA from 1 species